rnacentral:rRNA from 1 species
UUGGCAGAAACAAGGCUUAUAUCACCUCACCGGCCCGCCAGAUAAUUACGAGUAAAAACUUAAAAUUCAAAGGACUUGACGGUGUCCCACACACAACCUAGAGGAGCCUGUCCUAUAAUCGACAAUCCACGAAAAACCCUGCCACCUUUUGCCAAACAAUCUAUAUACCGCCGUACGAAAGUUUACCUUUUGAGAGAAAGGAAGUAAACAAAAGAGCCCUCCGCUAAUAUGACAGGUCAAGGUGUAGUAAAUGAGGUGGUCAGAGAUGGGCUACACUUCCUUAAAAAGGAAAAACGAACAGCCUAAUGAAACCCCGCUAGAAGGUGGAUUUAGUAGUAAAGUGGGAUUAGAAAGCCCACUUGAACACACCGCCCUGGGACG